AGCAGCCGCGGUAAUUCCAGCUCCAAUAGCGUAUAUUAAAGUUGUUGCAGUUAAAAAGCUCGUAGUUGAAUUUCGGGGUUAGUAGGUUGGUCAUGCCUCUGGUAUGUACUGGUCUCACUGAUUCCUCCUUCCUGAUGAGCCGUAAUGCCAUUAAUUUGGUGUUGCGGGGAAUUUGGACUGUUACUUUGAAAAAUUAGAGUGUUUAAAGCAAGCUAACGCUUGAAUACAUUAGCAUGGAAUAAUGAAAUAGGACGUUUGAUUCUAUUUUGUUGGUUUCUAGGAUCGACGUAAUGAUUAAUAGGGAUAGUUGGGGGCAUUAGUAUUCAAUUGUCAGAGGUGAAAUUCUUGGAUUUAUUGAAGACUAACUACUGCGAAAGCAUUUGCCAAGGAUGUUUUCAUUAAUCAAGAACGAAAGUUAGGGGAUCGAAGACGAUCAGAUACCGUCGUAGUCUUAACCAUAAACUAUGCCGACUAGGGAUCGGAUGAUGUUAAUUUUUAAUGACUCAUUCGGCGCCUUAAC
rnacentral:rRNA from 1 species